rnacentral:rRNA from 1 species
GCGAGUGAAGAGGGAAAAGCUCAAAUUUUGAAUCCGACGUCUUCGGCGUCCGAGUUGUAAUCUAGAGAAGUGUUUUCCGUGUCGGACCGUGCACAAGUUCCCUGGAACGGGGCGUCAUAGAGGGUGAGAAUCCCGUACGUGGCACGGACUCCCGGUGCUCUGCGAUACACUCUCAACGAGUCGAGUUGUUUGGGAAUGCAGCUCAAAAUGGGUGGUAAAUUCCAUCUAAAGCUAAAUAUUGGCGAGAGACCGAUAGCGAACAAGUACCGUGAGGGAAAGAUGAAAAGCACUUUGGAAAGAGAGUGAAACAGUACGUGAAAUUGUUGAAAGGGAAGCGUUUGAAGUCAGUCGCGUCUGUCGGGGUUCAGCCUGGCUUCUGCCUGGUGUAUUCCCUGUCCGACGGGUCAGCAUCAGUUUCCGCCGAGAGAGAAAGGCUUGGGGAAUGUGGCCAUCUUCGGGUGGUGUUAUAGCCCUUUGUCAUAUGUCUCGGUGGGGACUGAGGACUGCAGCGCGCCUUACGGCCGGGGUUCGCCCUCGGUACGCGCUUAGGAUGCUGGCAUAAUGGCUUUAAGCGACCCGUCUUGAAACACGGACCAAGGAGUCUAACAUGUGCGCGAGUGUUUGGGUGUCAAACCCGAGCGCGUAAUGAAAGUGAAAGGUCGGGAUCACGUACGUGUGCACCGACGCCCGGAGCAGACCUACUGUGACGCAUCUGCGGUGGAGCGUAUAUGUUGGGACCCGAAAGAUGGUGAACUAUGCCUGAAUAGGGUGAAGCCAGAGGAAACUCUGGUGUAGGCUCGUAGCGAUUCUGACGUGCAAAUCGAUCGUCAA